GCUGGCGGCAUGCCUAAUACAUGCAAGUCGAACGGUAACAGGACGCUGUGAUCCCUUCGGGGUGAACUUGUCGCUGACGAGUGGCGGACGGGUGAGUAAUGCUUGGGAAUCUGCCCAGUAGUGGGGGACAACACGGGGGAAACUCGUGCUAAUACCGCAUACGUCCUACGGGAGAAAGUGGGGGAUCUUCGGACCUCACGCUAUUGGAUGAGCCCAAGUCGGAUUAGCUUGUUGGUGGGGUAACGGCCUACCAAGGCGACGAUCCGUAGCUGGUCUGAGAGGACGAUCAGCCACACUGGGACUGAGACACGGCCCAGACUCCUACGGGAGGCAGCAGUAGGGAAUAUUGGACAAUGGGCGCAAGCCUGAUCCAGCAAUGCCGCGUGUGUGAAGAAGGCCUGCGGGUUGUAAAGCACUUUCACUGGGGAGGAAAGGUUUAUUGUUAAUAGCGAUAAGCUGUGACGUUACCUGGAGAAGAAGCACCGGCUAACUCUGUG
rnacentral:rRNA from 1 species